rnacentral:rRNA from 1 species
AACACAUGCAAGUCGAACGGUAACAUAGAGAAGCUUGCUUCUUUGAUGACGAGUGGCGCACGGGUGCGUAACGCGUAUACAAUCUGCCUCUUACAGGGGGAUAGCCUUUGGAAACGAAGAAUAAUACCCCAUAGUAUGUAGAUAUCGCAUGGUAAUUACAUUAAAGAUUUAUCGGUAAGAGAUGAGUAUGCGUCCUAUUAGCUAGAUGGUGUGGUAACGGCACACCAUGGCAACGAUAGGUAGGGGCCCUGAGAGGGGGAUCCCCCACACUGGUACUGAGACACGGACCAGACUCCUACGGGAGGCAGCAGUGAGGAAUAUUGGACAAUGGGCGAGAGCCUGAUCCAGCCAUGCCGCGUGCAGGAAGACUGCCCUAUGGGUUGUAAACUGCUUUUAUACGGGAAGAAACCCACCUACGUGUAGGUGGCUGACGGUACCGUAAGAAUAAGCAUCGGCUAACUCCGUGCCAGCAGCCGCGGUAAUACGGAGGAUGCAAGCGUUAUCCGGAAUCAUUGGGUUUAAAGGGUCCGUAGGUGGACAAUUAAGUCAGAGGUGAAAUCCUGCAGCUCAACUGUAGAAUUGCCUUUGAUACUGGUUGUCUUGAAUUAUUGUGAAGUGGUUAGAAUAUGUAGUGUAGCGGUGAAAUGCAUAGAUAUUACAUAGAAUACCAAUUGCGAAGGCAGAUCACUAACAAUAUAUUGACACUGAUGGACGAAAGCGUGGGGAGCGAACGGGAUUAGAUACCCCGGUAGUCCACGCCGUAAACGAUGGUCACUAGCUGUUCGGAUUUCGGUCUGAGUGGCUAAGCGAAAGUGAUAAGUGACCCACCUGGGGAGUACGUUCGCAAGAAUGAAACUCAAAGGAAUUGACGGGGGCCCGCACAAGCGUGAGCAUGUGUUUAUCGAUGAUACGCGAGACUACAGGCUAAUGUAGAUUGCAUAGCUAGAGAUAGCUAUUUCUCGACUAUCUACAGUGCUGCAUGAUGUCG